rnacentral:rRNA from 1 species
UACAGAGGUCCCGAGCGUUGUUCGGAUUUAUUGGGCGUAAAGAGCUCGUAGGCGGUUCGUCGCGUCGGCUGUGAAAACCCGGAGCUCAACUCCGGGCCUGCAGUCGAUACGGGCGGACUUGAGUGUUGCAGGGGAGACUGGAAUUCCUGGUGUAGCGGUGAAAUGCGCAGAUAUCAGGAGGAACACCGGUGGCGAAGGCGGGUCUCUGGGCAACUACUGACGCUGAGGAGCGAAAGCGUGGGGAGCGAACAGG